rnacentral:rRNA from 1 species
AUUGAACGCUGGCGGCAGGCCUAACACAUGCAAGUCGAGCGGAUGAAGGGAGCUUGCUCCUGGAUUCAGCGGCGGACGGGUGAGUAAUGCCUAGGAAUCUGCCUGGUAGUGGGGGAUAACGUCCGCAAACGGGCGCUAAUACCGCAUACGUCGUGAGGGAGAAAGUGGGGGAUCUUCGGACCUCACGCUAUCAGAUGAGCCGAGGUCGGAUUAGCUAGUUGGUGGGGUAAAGGCCUACCAAGGCGACGAUCCGUAACUGGUCUGAGAGGAUGAUCAGUCACACUGGAACUGAGACACGGUCCAGACUCCUACGGGAGGCAGCAGUGGGGAAUAUUGGGCAAUGGGCGAAAGCAUGGUCCAGCCGGGCCGCGUGUGUGAAGAAGGUCUUCGGAUUGUAAAGCACUUUAAGUUGGGAGGAAGGGCAGUAAGUUAAUACCUUGCUGUUUUGACGUUACCAACAGAAUAAGCACCGGCUAACUUCGUG